GUCUUCUAGGUAUUUUGGAGAGACUUUUUCUUAUGAUUGACGAUUGAUUUGAGAAUUAAUAAAAUUGAGAAUUUAUUUCUCUUUAUAAUUUGUUUCUCUGCCCUUUUGUUCUAUUGGUUGUAUAUCAAUUUAGUAUUAGAGCUCUUUUGGAUAUGUAUUGCUUGUGGAGAACAAAUUUUGCUUUUGUUUUAGCAAACUUCUUUAGCUUUGCUGCUUUUUUUCAAUUCAAUUUUUGCCUCUUUUGAGCCCUACUAGUGUGAUAAAAAGGGGACCGGCCCAGUGGGUAGCCUGGAGAAUCGGCAAAACUAGAUGUUAUACUGGACCGGUUAUGCAAAUGCCGUUGAACUGCAUAAUGAGCAGAACUGGAAAAGCCCUUUUGAGUCGGAUGGUUUGCGUGCAAACCAUUUGACUUCGACAACCUUUUUCAUUAACCCAAAGACAUCCAUCACAUGCAUUUGAAAGGAGUAUAAAGAUGUGAAAUCCUUAACCUGCUAAAUGAAAUCCAAUAUGUUGAAAUCUCUAACCUUACAAACAACAAAAAUUUCUCAUUUUCUAAAGUUUGAUUGUUGCAACUUGCAAGCUGUGAAAUCUUUGAUUGCUGUAAGCUAGUGACCAUAUGUUGGAUUUCAGUCUUAGUGAUGGUGAGUGGCAUUCAAAAUCUUAGUAGGUAAGUUUUGUGGUUACUUGAUUGUUUUCCUGCACCUUGCACAUAAUCUAUAUUUAUAUUCCUUCUUGGUUAUUAUCUUGAAAGUUAGAAAUCUUGUUGUGAUUGCCCACUUCUGCCAAUUAAUCUCUGUUUCACCAUUGUUAACUUCACCAUAUUUUGGAUUCUAAGAGCUAUAAUACCACCCAGAAGUUCUCUGUUCUUUUAUGAGAACUAUUUUGGGCAAUAGUUCAAAAAGGAACUGAAACAACUUACAGCUAUAUGUUG
rnacentral:misc_RNA from 1 species